rnacentral:rRNA from 1 species
CCCUUAGAUGCUCUGGGCCGCACGCGCGCUACACUGGUCGAUGCAACGAGUUUCUUUCCUUGGCCGACAGGCCUGGGCAAUCUUUGAACAUCGAUCGUGAUCGGGAUAGAUUCUUGUAAUUUUUGAUCUUAAACGAGGAAUUCCUAGUAAACGCAAGUCAUCAGCUUGCAUUGAUUACGUCCCUGCCCUUUGUACACACCGCCCGUCGCUCCUACCGAUUGAAUGAUCCGAUGAAUAUCAUGGAUUGAGGAUGCAAGUAGGUUAGCCUAUCUUCAUCUUCGAGAAGUGAAGUAAAUCUUAUCAUUUAGAGGAAGGAGAAGUCGUAACA